UGGGCGUUAAUACUGCAGGCAAGGGCCAUUUGCUGUAGGAGCUCAAUCAAAGGCUUUCCGUAGACGAAGUUCGAUUUCACACAGAAUUCGACAGAGGAUCGACCGGCAGUGGGUGUCGGAUGGCACUGGAGAGGUUCAUCCACUGGAGGGGUCCGGCUGCUGGAGUCCAUGUAUCGUAGGAGUUCGUCCGAAAUCUGUCCGCUACAGAAGUUCGGUCGGAGUCCGAUCUCCGUAGAAGCCCGGAUGGGGAUCAUUUGUCGAGGAAGCUCAGCCGAAGCCUGCAGUAGAAGCUCGGAGUAGAUCGCUUGCAGUAGAAGCUCGGAGUAGGUCACUUGCAGUAGAAGCUCGGAGUAGAUCGCUUGCAGUAGAAGCUCGGAGUAGGUCACUUGCAGUAGAAGCUCGGAGUAGAUCGCUUGCAGUAGAAGCUCGAGGUAGAUCGCUUGCAGUAGAAGCUCGGAGUCCGGCCCUUGUAGGAG
rnacentral:lncRNA from 1 species